rnacentral:misc_RNA from 1 species
UAAUAAGUGUUUUAUGGCACUUUUUAAAUCCAUACCCACCUUGUGUGCAAUGUCAGUCGAUCUUCUUCAUGGAGAUCGACCAAACAUCAACCUUUAUCUUUUAACUCUUUGUCUGAAAAAUAUUAUGAAUAAACAAUUCUAAAUA